rnacentral:rRNA from 1 species
UACGUAGGAGGCAAGCGUUGUCCGGAGUUACUGGGCGUAAAGCGCACGCAGGCGGUCGUGUCAGUCUGGGGUGACAGGUUCCGGCUUAACCGGAAAAGGACUCUGGAAACUGCACGACUUGAGGGCUUCAGAGGGAUGUGGAAUUCCAGGUGGAGUGGUGAAAUGCGUAGAGAUCUGGAAGAACACCAAAGGCGAAGGCAGCAUCCUGGGAAGUUCCUGACGCUCGGGUGCGAAAGCCAGGGGAGCGAACGGG